rnacentral:rRNA from 1 species
UACGUAGGUGGCAAGCGUUGUCCGGAUUUACUGGGCGUAAAGAGCGCGCAGGCGGCUGGGCAAGUCCGAUGUGAAAGCUUCCGGCUUAACUGGAAAAUUGCAUCGGAAACUGCUCGGCUUGAAGGUGGGAGAGGGUAGCGGAAUUCCCGGUGUAGUGGUGAAAUGCGUAGAUAUCGGGAGGAACACCAGUGGCGAAGGCGGCUACCCGGCCCACUCUUGACGCUGAGGCGCGAAAGCUAGGGGAGCAAACGGG